GGAUGUGAGGGCAAUCUGGCUGUGACAUCUGUCACCCCAUUGAUUGCCAGGGUUGAUUUGGCUGAUCUGGCUGGCUAGGCGGGUGUCCCCUUCCUCCCUCACUGUUCCACGUGCAUCCCUCCCGAAGCCGUGCACUCGGUCCAAGAGGACGACCUUCCCCGCUAGAGGAGGAUCGUUCUUCUGUCAAGGGUAUAUGAAUAGCUGUGCUCCCCUGCUAGAACCUCCAAACAAGCUCUCAAAAAUCAAGUGCAGAGGCUGGAUCUUUCUCUCACCUUUGGA
rnacentral:snRNA from 1 species